CUUGUGAUCUGAAGCAGACUUCUUGCACUGAACAGUACCUUUGAGAUGUGACAGCUCUCUCCUGUGUUUAUAUUUGGAUGACUCUACUGUGAUGUGAUACCGGUUAGGACACUGGCUCCUCACCUCUGAAGAGAUGGAUGAGAAGACUUUAGCUUUUCAUAUUUGCCUCUUACAUUCAUUCAGUCAUAGACCACUGCACAGGAGGAAACAAAAAAGCAGGAAGAAGUACAGAAAUGGAGCAGAGAUACCACGCAAGUAGUACAGCUGAUGACAGACCAGACAGUAGACUUGAAGAGAGCUAUUUGCAUAAAAUAUGUUGCAAAAACUGGAUUUCCAAACAAAGGCUUCUGUUAAUGUAUUUCUUCUAUUUCAAUAAAAGCACAUUAAAAAAAAAAAAGAUGGUUAUUUGGAAUUGUUACACAUUACAG
rnacentral:lncRNA from 1 species